AAAUUGAAGAGUUUGAUCAUGGCUCAGAUUGAACGCUGGCGGCAGGCCUAACACAUGCAAGUCGAGCGGUAGCACAGAGAGCUUGCUCUCGGGUGACGAGCGGCGGACGGGUGAGUAAUGUCUGGGAAACUGCCUGAUGGAGGGGAUAACUACUGGAAACGGUAGCUAAUACCGCAUAAUGUCGCAAGACCAAAGUGGGGGACCUUCGGGCCUCAUGCCAUCAGAUGUGCCCAGAUGGGAUUAGCUAGUAGGUGGGGUAAUGGCUCACCUAGGCGACGAUCCCUAGCUGGUCUGAGAGGAUGACCAGCCACACUGGAACUGAGACACGGUCCAGACUCCUACGGGAGGCAGCAGUGGGGAAUAUUGCACAAUGGGCGCAAGCCUGAUGCAGCCAUGCCGCGUGUGUGAAGAAGGCCUUCGGGUUGUAAAGCACUUUCAGCGGGGAGGAAGGCGGUGAGGUUAAUAACCUCAUCGAUUGACGUUACCCGCAGAAGAAGCACCGGCUAACUCCGUGCCAGCAGCCGCGGUAAUACGGAGGGUGCAAGCGUUAAUCGGAAUUACUGGGCGUAAAGCGCACGCAGGCGGUCUGUCAAGUCGGAUGUGAAAUCCCCGGGCUCAACCUGGGAACUGCAUUCGAAACUGGCAGGCUAGAGUCUUGUAGAGGGGGGUAGAAUUCCAGGUGUAGCGGUGAAAUGCGUAGAGAUCUGGAGGAAUACCGGUGGCGAAGGCGGCCCCUGGACAAAGACUGACGCUCAGGUGCGAAAGCGUGGGGAGCAAACAGGAUUAGAUACCCUGGUAGUCCACGCCGUAAACGAUGUCGAUUUGGAGGUUGUGCCCUUGAGGCGUGGCUUCCGGAGCUAACGCGUUAAAUCGACCGCCUGGGGAGUACGGCCGCAAGGUUAAAACUCAAAUGAAUUGACGGGGGCCCGCACAAGCGGUGGAGCAUGUGGUUUAAUUCGAUGCAACGCGAAGAACCUUACCUGGUCUUGACAUCCACAGAACUUUCCAGAGAUGGAUUGGUGCCUUCGGGAACUGUGAGACAGGUGCUGCAUGGCUGUCGUCAGCUCGUGUUGUGAAAUGUUGGGUUAAGUCCCGCAACGAGCGCAACCCUUAUCCUUUGUUGCCAGCGGUUAGGCCGGGAACUCAAAGGAGACUGCCAGUGAUAAACUGGAGGAAGGUGGGGAUGACGUCAAGUCAUCAUGGCCCUUACGACCAGGGCUACACACGUGCUACAAUGGCAUAUACAAAGAGAAGCGACCUCGCGAGAGCAAGCGGACCUCAUAAAGUAUGUCGUAGUCCGGAUUGGAGUCUGCAACUCGACUCCAUGAAGUCGGAAUCGCUAGUAAUCGUAGAUCAGAAUGCUACGGUGAAUACGUUCCCGGGCCUUGUACACACCGCCCGUCACACCAUGGGAGUGGGUUGCAAAAGAAGUAGGUAGCUUAACCUUCGGGAGGGCGCUUACCACUUUGUGAUUCAUGACUGGGGUGAAGUCGUAACAAGGUAACCGUAGGGGAACCUGCGGUUGGAUCACCUCCUUA
rnacentral:rRNA from 1 species